rnacentral:lncRNA from 1 species
UACCACUAAAACUCAAGAUUUUGUUGUCUUUGAGCAAUUUAGAAUGUUUUGAUGUGUGUUCGUAUUGUUUUAUAGGUCAGGUAACUUGGUGAAAACGAUAAGUUCAGAGCUUGAAAAUGAGCUAAAGUUGACAGGAGUGUAAAUGGUGAAAGCUGAUGCUUAAAGGAAUCCUGUCAACGGUGAAAGCUGAUGCUUAAAGGAAUCAAGGAGUAAAGGAGAAGAGGAAGGGAAGGAAACAAGGUCGAAGAAGAAGAAAAAACAAAAGCCAAAAUGAUCAAAGGUGAAAAAUGGUGCUGCAACACUGCAGUGCCACGACUCGAGAAAAAAAAUGGACAAUCAUAUUGGCCCAACAGUGCCAUGGCUUUGAAGAACCAAAAGGAAGAUUGGCAUUGCGACGCCAGACACAUGGCACCCCAGCGCCAGCCACGACCAGAAGCAACAGAGAUCUAACGCCGCAGUGCCCUGAAAAUAUAUGUUGCGGCACUGUGAAGUUAGCACAGAAGCACCGACGACGACUGAAAAAGUUUAAAAUUUUUAGAUUCCUUUUAACACCCAAUUUGUCUCUAACUCCUCUAAGAGUUGAAAAGACUAUAAAUACAAUCAUGAAAACCAAUUCUAAGGGAGAUUGGACGACGCAAGAGACAAAGAGCAAGAAAUUGUUCUAAAGAAAGAAAGACAAUAUCAAGGAGAAGAAUUCAAGUGCCAAACCAGUUUUACUCUUUUUUUUUUUUUUCCUUCUCCAUUUUCUUAUUAUUGGAUUGAAUUAUGUCUCUUCUCUUAUUCAUGAACUAAAUUAGUGAACUAAGGUUUGAUAUAACCUAACUUGAGGUAUAUUUGGAUUUUAAUAUAA